rnacentral:rRNA from 1 species
GUGCCAGCAGCCGCGGUAAUACGGGGGGGACAAGCGUUGUUCGGAUUUACUGGGCGUAAAGGGCGCGUAGGCGGACUGACAAGUCGGAAGUGAAAACCGGCAGCUUAACUGCAGGCUUGCUCUCGAUACUGUCAGUCUUGAGUACGGAAGAGGAAAGCGGAAUUCCAGGUGUAGCGGUGAAAUGCGUAGAUAUCUGGAAGAACACCAGUAGCGAAGGCGGCUUUCUGGUCCGAAACUGACGCUAAAGCGCAAAGGCUAGGGGAGCAAACAGGAUUAGAUACCCUGGUAGUCCUAGCGGUAAACGAUGGGUACUAGGUGUCGGAGGUAUCGACCCCUUCGGUGCCGAAGUUAACGCAUUAAGUACCCCGCCUGGGGAGUACGGUCGCAAGACUGAAACUCAAAGGAAUUGACGGGGGCCCGCACAAGCGGUGGAGUAUGUGGUUUAAUUCGAGGCAACGCGAAGAACCUUACCUGGG